rnacentral:rRNA from 1 species
ACGAACGCUGGCGGCGUGCUUAACACAUGCAAGUCGAACGGAAAGGCCCUUCGGGGUACUCGAGUGGCGAACGGGUGAGUACCACGUGGGUGAUCUGCCCUGCACUUUGGGAUAAGCCUGGGAAACUGGGUCUAAUACCGGAUAGGACCACGGCAUUCAUGUGCUGUGGUGGAAAGCUUUUGCGGUGUGGGAUGGGCCCGCGGCCUAUCAGCUUGUUGGUGGGGUAAUGGCCUACCAAGGCGACGACGGGUAGCCGGCCUGAGAGGGUGACCGGCCACACUGGGACUGAGAUACGGCCCAGACUCCUACGGGAGGCAGCAGUGGGGAAUAUUGCACAAUGGGCGCAAGCCUGAUGCAGCGACGCCGCGUGAGGGAUGACGGCCUUCGGGUUGUAAACCUCUUUCGCCAGGGACGAAGCGCAAGUGACGGUACCUGGAGAAGAAGGACCGGCCAACUACGUG